rnacentral:rRNA from 1 species
UACGGAGGAUGCGAGCGUUAUCCGGAUUUAUUGGGUUUAAAGGGUGCGUAGGUUGUUUUUUAAGUCAGCGGUGAAAUGCCCCCGCUCAACGGGGUGAAGUGCCAUUGAUACUGCCUUGCUGGAAUGCGGAUGCCGUGGGAGGAAUGUGUGGUGUAGCGGUGAAAUGCAUAGAUAUCACGCAGAACCCCGAUUGCGAAGGCAGCAUACCGGCGCUCAACUGACGCUGAGGCACGAAAGUGCGGGUAUCGAACAGG